AGAGUUUGAUCCUGGCUCAGAAUGAACGCUGGUGGUAUGCUUAAUACAUGCAAGUCGAACGAGAAACAGUCUUUCGGGAUUGUGGAAAGUGGCAAACGGGUGAGUAAUACAGAGGAAUCUACCUAACAGUAAGGAAUAGCCCCUGGAAACGGGGAUUAAUACCAUAUAUUACCGUACGCGGGAAAGAUUUAUCGCUGAUAGAUGAGCCUCUGUCGGAUUAGCUUGUUGGUAGGGUAAAGGCCUACCAAGGCUGUGAUCCGUAGCUGGUCUGAGAGGAUGACCAGCCACAUUGGGACUGCGACACGGCCCAAACUCCUACGGGAGGCAGCAGUAGGGAAUAUUGGACAAUGGGCGAAAGCCUGAUCAGCAAUACCACGUGAGUGAUGAAGGCCUUCGGGUUGUAAAGCUCUUUUAGUAGGAAAGAUAAUGACGGUACCUACAGAAAAAGCACCGGCUAACUCCGUGCCAGCAGCCGCGGUAAUACGGAGGGUGCUAGCGUUAUUCGAAAUCAUUGGGCGUAAAGCGUGCGUAGGCGGCAUAGCAAGUUGGUUGUGAAAGCCCGGGGCUUAACCCUGGAACUGCAACCAAAACUGCUGAGCUGGAGUAUGGUAUGCGAUAGCAGAAUUUCUAGUGUAGGGGUGAAAUCCGUAGAUAUUAGAAGGAAUACCGGCGGCGAAAGCGGCUAUCUAGACCAUUACUGACGCUGAGGUACGAAGGCGUGGGGAGCGAACAGGAUUAGAUACCCUGGUAGUCCACGCAGUAAACGAUGAGUGCUAGUUGUCUGGAAUUUAGUUCUGGGUGACGAAGCUAACGCGUUAAGCACUCCGCCUGGGGAGUACGGCCGCAAGGCUAAAACUCAAAGGAAUUGACGGGGACCCGCACAAGCGGUGGAACAUGUGGUUUAAUUCGAUGCUACACGAAGAACCUUACCAACCCUUGACAUGGCGAUCGAGAGAGACAGAGAUGACUCUCAUCAGUUAGGCUGGAUCGCACACAGGUGUUGCAUGGCUGUCGUCAGCUCGUGUCGUGAGAUGUUAGGUUAAGUCCUUUAACGAGCGCAACCCUCACCCUUAUUUGCCAAUGGGUAAUGCCAGGAACUAUAAGGGAACUGCCAGCGAUAAGUUGGAGGAAGGUGGGGAUGAGGUCAAGUCAUCACGGCCCUUAUGGGUUGGGCUACACACAUGUUACAAUGGUGGUUACAACGGGAAGCGAAAGAGCAAUCUGGAGCAAAUCCUUUAAAAGCCAUCUCAGUUCGGAUUGUAGGCUGCAACUCGCCUGCAUGAAGUUGGAAUCGCUAGUAAUCGUGGGUCAGCUAUACCACGGUGAAUACGUUCUCGGGUCUUGUACACACUGCCCGUCAAGCCAUGGGAGUCGUUUCUGCCUGAAUUCGGUGGGCUAACCCGCAAGGGAGGCAGCCGAACACGGUGGGGGUGGCGACUGGGGUUAAGUCGUAACAAGGUA
rnacentral:rRNA from 1 species